rnacentral:lncRNA from 1 species
CCAGGACGACCGAUGGUCGCCUUCCUCCGCUCCCGACCAGGACGCCCCGACCACCGACGCUGGUAAUAUGAUCUCUUUCUUCUCCACUCUGAUUACCAAUUCUUCUAUUCUAUCCAAGCAUCCAUAUGUGAUACGUCAACUUGUGAAGUUUGUGAGCUAGAACUACUAAACUGUGUUGCUUUUGCUGGCCUGAUGACAAUAGUUGAUAAAGAAUUAGAGAGAUUAGGGAAAAGAAUUAGAGAUUGGUAUUUGGUAAUUUAUAUUUCAGUUUUAUUAUGUUGCUAUUUGGUGUUCUGAGAUUAUGAGGGAGACUUUUUUGAGACUAUGAGAAAGACUUUUUUUUACGAAUGACUAUGAGAAAGACUUACAUUUGAUUGAGUACUGAUUCUGGUUUGCUAUUUAGUGGUGGUGAUGUGAUGAAGUUUAUGGUGAUACGGUGAUUUAUAUCUCAUUUUGUCCUUUUUGUGACAGAGAACUAGAGAUUAUUAGUGUAUAUGAUGAGCGAUGCUGCUCUUCUGCUGCAGGUACGUGAACAGGGGCGGCGUUGACAACACUGGCCUCCUCCAGCAGCCAAUCUUCGCCCCGCUCCUGCUCCGAGCUCCUUUAGCGACCUCACCACCUCGCCUACUGCCUGCUUCGUGCUCAGCUCGCCUACGAGAUGUUCGACCAAUUGACCAAAUCGAGCCAAGCCAAGUCUGCCUCUCUUGCCUGGGCAUGGACGACGGUCGGGUACUUACCAUCAUCAAGUAGUCGAGUACCAGAAGCGAAGCUGACAGAGAGGAAGAGGCUACAUAAGGAUUCUUGUGUCCCAAAAGGUAUGUUCCUUUUUGCCUAUUCAUGUUCCAUGCAUUACCUGGCUCACGGUGUCUAGUCAACUCAGCUCACAGUGAUCAAUGAUUGAUCAAUAUUAACAGGAUUUGAUUUUCAGUUUAAAGCGGAACCUACUAGAUUAUUGGGUGUUUGGAUGGUCGAUAUAUGUCACUCUCUGACUCUCAGUUCAUUCUAUCUUUGCGUUUUUUUACUAUAAUGUUUCUAUCACGGUGAAGCAAAAGAACGUGGAAUUAGUGAUGGCGAAACUUUAAAAUGCUUUGCAUCAUUAGGGUUGUUAUUACAGUCCAUAUAUGUAUUGAAAAUAACCUGACUCUUCUGAUUUAUAAUGAACUUCUGCUCAUGCGCUUCAGUGAAUCUUAUUUUGCAGGAAAUUUUGCAAGUGGAGGUGAAGGAUUGUUCUAAACUGGCAGAUGAAGCUAUGCGUUCUUUUAGUGGACUUUUAUAUGUUUGCAUAGUUUUUGCUCUUCAAACAUGAAGCUUAGAAAAUUUCAGAAAAUUGUUACUAAGUUAAGUUCAUGUAUGACAGAUUGUCAUUGGAGAUAGAUACACUUUAUGUUAGAUUUACCAUCUUGUAAACCAAGCUUAUGUUGUUCGAAAUUGACGUUUUGAUUAAUUUGGGAUUUCUGUUUCGUGUCAAAACCUGGACAUCUGAUUCAAUGGUUUCUUCUUUGUUG